AUAAAAGCAGGCAACAGCUCACUGCUCCCUUUGCUCAGAAGCAGCGUUUUUGGAAGACAAGAUGGUUGUCAGCCCUCAGAAGGAAGAUUUACACAGUAGGGUAGAAUAAUUACUCAAAAAACAGACAGAAGAAGAAACAACAACCUGUCUCCGAGGCCUGGACUUACCCAGAUAUGCAGCACAGUGCGUAUGAGAACCAAUCCGCAGGGCCACGCCAGUGUCUGGGAGAACUCACUCCUGGUUUCUCUGCUUGUUCCCCACCUGGCAUCACAAAUGUUGGUGUGCUCAUGGUGAUCUCUGUGGACUGAUCGUGGAAGAUUGUGACUGCACGUGAGGAAUAAGCAAGAGCGGCAGGAAGCCCAGGGGCGACUCAGGAAACAAGGAUCCUGUUCUCCUGCAGAUGUCCCUCAUCAGAGGGAACAGACCAGCAGGAGAAGCGGAGGGACAACCACAGACAAAUGUACCACGGCUCUGCUCUGAAGGUGUCUUGCACUUAAUUAUUUCUAAUUGGCCUGUCACUGAAGAAUGAAGGCAACUCCGACAAUGUUAUCUGACAGGUGCCACUUCAUUGUUCUCCCCAAGUUUAUUAUUUCCCCCCCCCAGGAUUGUGCAUGGUGAAGUUCAGAUUGCUCCCCUUCAUUUGUUGCCGUUUAUCUAUA